UGACCAUUCUUUCGAAAAGAAUUUAGGCCAUACGGACAGCCGGGUCAACUGCCGA
rnacentral:sRNA from 12 species